AUGUUACCUGGAGAUCAUUUACCUGCGGACGAGGAGGAAGACCGGAGCAACCCGACCGAAGGUAGUGCGUCUGUAAAAUCACCACAGGAAAUCCUUUCAGCACGUGACCCCGUGAGCAGAGGAAACACCACCCACACUGACCUCAUCAGCACCCAGCCUCUGCCUGCCUCACCGGGGGUGGCGGGGCGGAGCAGGCCUCAGUGUGACCCCCAGAAGCCCACCUGCCCACGAUGUGGCCUCGCGGUGCCAGACCACAGACUCCUGCCCGUUCACCGGGACCUGAGCGGCCUGCAGGGCUCCAGCCUGACGGUGCACAGCAGCAGCAGCAGCACAGGCGGCGGCAGGAGGAAGAAGAAGAACAGGAGCCGGGGCAGUGUGGCCAGCUCACACCAACCUGCAGCCACACCAAGUGGUGGGCACCGAUAA
rnacentral:lncRNA from 1 species